rnacentral:tRNA from 1 species
CAGAGAAUAGUUUAUUUAAAAUAUUAAUUUUGGAGAUUAAUGAAAAAAGUUUUUUUUCUCUGA